rnacentral:rRNA from 1 species
CCUACGGGUGGCAGCAGUGGGGAAUAUUGGGCAAUGGGCGCAAGCCUGACCCAGCAACGCCGCGUGAAGGAAGAAGGCUUUCGGGUUGUAAACUUCUUUUCUCAGGGACGAAGAAAGUGACGGUACCUGAGGAAUCAGCCACGGCUAACUUGGUGACAACCGCCGUGGUCAUACGUAGGUGGCAAGCGUUAUCCGGCUUUACUGGGUGCAAAGGGCGUGGAGGCGGGACUGCAAGGCAGAUGUGAAAGCCACGGGCUCAACCUGUGGCCUGCAUUUGAAACUGUAGUUCUUGAGUGCUGGAGAGGCAGACGGAAUUCCUGGUGUAGCGGUGAAAUGCGUAGAUAUUAGGAGGAACACCAAUGGCGAAGGCGGUCUGCUGGACAGCAACUGACGCUGAGGCGCGAAAGCGUGGGGAGCAAACAGGAUUAGAUACCCCUGUAGUC